AACGUAGGAGACGAACGUUAUCCGGAGUUACUGGGCGUAAAGGGCGUGCAGGCGGCUUGAUAAGUUCGGCGUGAAAUUUCCCGGCUUAACCGGGGGAUGUCGUCGGAGACUGUCGAGCUAGAGGGUGAUAGAGGCGUGUGGAAUUCCUGGUGUAGCGGUGAAAUGCGUAGAUAUCAGGAGGAACACCGGUGGUGUAGACGGCUUUCUGGACCGUAACUGACGCUGAGACACGAAAGCGUGGGUAGCAAACAGG
rnacentral:rRNA from 1 species